GACGAACGCUGGCGGCGUGGAUUAGGCAUGCAAGUCGAGCGAGAACCGUAGCAAUACGGGGACAGCGGCGAAAGGGACAGUAAUGUGUAGGUACCUACCUCCGGGUUCGGGAUAGCUGCGGGAAACUGCAGGUAAUACCGAAUAACGUCUCCGGACCAAAGGUGUGAUUCCACCUGGAGAGGGGCCUGCAUCCUAUUAGCUUGUUGGCGGGGUAACGGCCCACCAAGGCGACGAUGGGUAGCGGGUGUGAGAGCACGACCCGCGUCAUUGGGACUGAGACACUGCCCAGACACCUACGGGUGGCUGCAGUCGUGAAUCUUCGGCAAUGGGCGCAAGCCUGGCCGAGCGACGCCGCGUGCGGGAUGAAGGCCUUCGGGUUGUAAACCGCUGUCGUAGAGGAGGAAAUGCAGGGGGGUUCUCCCCUCUGUUUGACCUAUUCUAGGAGGAAGUACGGGCUAAGUUCGUGCCAGCAGCCGCCGUAA
rnacentral:rRNA from 1 species